rnacentral:rRNA from 1 species
UACGUAGGGGGCUAGCGUUGUCCGGAAUCAUUGGGCGUAAAGGGUAGGUAGGUGGUCUCGUUUGUCUGGGGUGAAAUCCUUGAGCUUAACUCAAGAAGUGCCCUAGAAACGGCGAGACUAGAGUACUGGAGAGGGUCGUGGAAUUCCCGGUGUAGCGGUGAAAUGCGUAGAUAUCUGGAGGAACACCGGUGGCGAAGGCGGCAUCCUGGACCAAUAUUGACGCUGAGGAGCGAAAGCCAGGGGAGCAAACGGG